rnacentral:rRNA from 1 species
UACAGAGGUCUCAAGCGUUGUCCGGAUUUACUGGGCGUAAAGAGCGCGCAGGCGGUCGUUCAAGUCGCGUGUGAAAGCCCCCGGCUCAACUGGGGAGGGUCACGCGAUACUGAUCGACUCGAAGGCAGGAGAGGGAAGUGGAAUUCCCGGUGUAGUGGUGAAAUGCGUAGAUAUCGGGAGGAACACCAGUGGCGAAGGCGACUUCCUGGCCUGUUCUUGACGCUGAGGCGCGAAAGCUAGGGGAGCAAACGGG